UACAGAGGUCUCAAGCGUUGUUCGGAUUCAUUGGGCGUAAAGGGUGCGUAGACGGCGGGGUAAGUCAGGUGUGAAAUCUCGGGGCUCAACCCCGAAACUGCACUUGAUACUGCCUCGCUUGAGUACUGGAGAGGAGACUGGAAUUUACGGUGUAGCAGUGAAAUGCGUAGAUAUCGUAAGGAAGACCAGUGGCGAAGGCGAGUCUCUGGACAGUUACUGACGCUGAGGCACGAAAGCGUGGGGAGCAAACAGG
rnacentral:rRNA from 1 species